AGAGUUUGAUCCUGGCUCAGAACGAACGCUGGCGGCGCGCCUAAUACAUGCAAGUCGAACGAGAAGGUGUAGCAAUACACUUGUAAAGUGGUGAACGGGUGAGGAAUGCAUGGGUAACCUACCCUCGAGUGGGGAAUAACCAGCCGAAAGGCUGGCUAAUACCGCGUACGCUUCCGGGUCUGCGGACCUGGAAGGAAAGUCACACCGUGGGUGUGACGCUCAAGGAUGGGCUCAUGUCCUAUCAGCUUGUUGGUAGGGUAACGGCCUACCAAGGCUUCGACGGGUAGCUGGUCUGAGAGGACGAUCAGCCACACUGGCACUGCGACACGGGCCAGACUCCUACGGGAGGCAGCAGUAAGGAAUAUUGCGCAAUGGGCGAAAGCCUGACGCAGCGACGCCGCGUGGGGGAUGAAGGUCUUCGGAUUGUAAACCCCUUUCGGGAGGGAAAAUGGAACGAGCAAUCGUUCGGAUGGUACCUCCAGAAGCAGCCACGGCUAACUUCGUGCCAGCAGCCGCGGUAAUACGAAGGUGGCAAGCGUUGUUCGGAUUUACUGGGCGUAAAGGGAGCGUAGGCGGUUUGGUAAGCCCCUCGGGAAAUCUUCGGGCUCAACCCGGAAAGGUCGGGGGGGACUGCCAGGCUAGAGGAUGGGAGAGGAGCGCGGAAUUCCCGGUGUAGCGGUGAAAUGCGUAGAGAUCGGGAGGAAGGCCGGUGGCGAAGGCGGCGCUCUGGAACAUAUCUGACGCUGAGGCUCGAAAGCGUGGGGAGCAAACAGGAUUAGAUACCCUGGUAGUCCACGCCCUAAACGAUGGACACUAAGUGUCGGCGGGUUACCGCCGGUGCCGCAGCUAACGCAGUAAGUGUCCCGCCUGGGGAGUACGGCCGCAAGGUUGAAACUCAAAGGAAUUGACGGGGGCCCGCACAAGCAGUGGAGCAUGUGGUUUAAUUCGAUGCUACGCGAAGAACCUUACCUGGGCUCGAAAUACUAGAUUAUCCAUCGGUGAAAGUCGGUGGCGCUUCGGCAAUCUAGACAAGUGCUGCAUGGCCGUCGUCAGCUCGUGCCGUGAGGUGUUGGGUUAAGUCCCGCAACGAGCGCAACCCCUAUCCUUAGUUGCCAUCAGGUUAUGCUGGGGACUCUAAGGAGACUGCCUACGCAAGUAGUGAGGAAGGUGGGGAUGACGUCAAGUCCUCAUGGCCCUUACGCCCAGGGCUACACACGUGCUACAAUGGUAACUACAGAGGGCAGCGAUACCGCGAGGUGGAGCAAAUCUCAAAAAAGUUAUCUCAGUCCGGAUCGGAGUCUGCAACUCGACUCCGUGAAGCUGGAAUUGCUAGUAAUCGCGUAUCAGCAUGACGCGGUGAAUACGUUCCCGGGCCUUGUACACACCGCCCGUCAAGCCAUGGAAGCUGGGGGCGCCCGACGUCGGUGAGCUAACCGUAAGGAAGCAGCCGCCUAAGGCGAAACCAGUGACUGGGGCUAAGUCGUAACAAGGUA
rnacentral:rRNA from 1 species